UACAUGGGGGUGCAAACGUUUGCUCGGAAUUAUUGGGCGUAAAGCGCACGUAGGCGGUUCGUUAAGUCGGAUGUGAAAGCCCCUCGGCUCAACUGAGGAAGUGCACCCGAAACUGGCGAGCUUGAGUACGAAAAGAGGAUCGCGGAAUUCCCGGUGUAGAGGUGAAAUUCGUAGAUAUCGGGGAGGAACACCGGUGGCGAAGGCGGCGAUCUGGGUCGAUACUGACGCUGAGGAGCGAAAGCGUGGGGAGCAAACAGG
rnacentral:rRNA from 1 species